rnacentral:misc_RNA from 1 species
GUUUACCUGUUCUUUACUAAAAUCCAUCCUACUAACCUGUACAGGGGCAUUAAAUAUAUUCCAAGACACCCUAAAGGAAAAAAAAUAUGAAUAUGACACUGACCAAUAUAUGACUUCUUCAACCCAGUUCACCCUGACUCAUCUGUCUAAAAAAAGACGCCCUGCUAACUCAUCCCAGAUUUCUCUCCUUUUUUGGGAAAUGGGGAGAGAGGACUCCCCUGGUUGUCCGAAAUCCGGACCUUGCUCUAUGUUGCGGAAAGUUCCAUAUGCAGAAGGAGAAUAUGCUUGGGGGACAUCCAGUGCUACUGCCCUUUGCAAAGCAGCCUUGUGUUCCUCCAUGUGCUCCUUAGCGAGAGAGUCCCGUCUCUCCAUUCUCUGCUGCUCGGGGAUAUUCAUAGAAUCUGU